rnacentral:rRNA from 1 species
AACGCAGAAAUGAGAUUAGCUUGCUAAAGGAUUUUCAUGUUUGUCUUAGUGGCGGACGGGUGAGUAACGCGUGAGGAACCUGCCUCUCAGAGGGGGAUAACGUUUGGAAACGAACGCUAAUACCGCAUACCUUGCCGGAACGGCAUCGUUCUGGCAAGAAAGGAGCAAUCCGCUGAGAGAUGGCCUCGCGUCCGAUUAGCCAGUUGGCGGGGUAACGGCCCACCAAAGCGACGAUCGGUAGCCGGACUGAGAGGUUGAACGGCCACAUUGGGACUGAGACACGGCCCAGACUCCUACGGGAGGCAGCAGUGGGGGAUAUUGGUCAAUGGGGGAAACCCUGAACCAGCAACGCCGCGUGAGGGAAGAAGGUUUUCGGAUUGUAAACCUCUGUUUUUGGUGACGAAACAAAUGACGGUAGCCAAGGAGAAAGCCACGGCUAACUACGUGCCAGCAGCCGCGGUAAUACGUAGGUGGCAAGCGUUGUCCGGAAUUACUGGGUGUAAAGGGAGCGCAGGCGGGAAGGCAAGUCAGACGUGAAAACUAUGGGCUCAACCCAUAACGUGCGUUUGAAACUGUUUUUCUUGAGUGAAGUA